CCCUCUGGACUGAGAUACCCUCGGGAAACUGAGGUCAAUCUCGGAUACUGCUUCCGUGUUGGAACACAGGAAGCUGGAAACGGUCCGCCGCCGGAGGACGUGACUGCGGCUGAUUAGGUAGACGGUGGGGUAACGGCCCACCGUGCCGAUAAUCAGUACGGGUUGUGAGAGCAAGAGCCCGGAGACGGAAUCUGAGACAAGAUUCCGGGCCCUACGGGGCGCAGCAGCCGCGAAACCUUUACACUGCACGCCAGUGCGAUAAGGGGAUCCCGAGUGCGAGGGCAUACAGUCCUCGCUUUUCGCGACCGUAAGGUGGUCGCAGAAUAAGGGCUGGGCAAGACCGGUGCCAGCCGCCGCGGUAAUACCGGCAGCCCGAGUGAUAGCCAAUUUUAUUGGGCCUAAAGCGUCCGUAGCUGGCCGAACAGGUCCGUCGGGAAAUCCACCCGCUUAACGGGUGGGCGUCCGGCGGAAACCAGUCGGCUUGGGGCCGAGAGACCAAAGGGGUACGUCCGGGGUAGGAGUGAAAUCCCGUAAUCCUGGACGGACCACCGGUUGCGAAAGCGCCUUUGGAGAACGGACCCGACAGUGAGGGACGAAAGCUAGGGUCUCGAACCGGAUUAGAUACCCGGGUAGUCCUAGCCGUAAACGAUGCUCGCUAGGUGUGACGCAGGCUACGAGCCUGCGUUGCGCCGUAGGGAAGCCGAGAAGCGAGCCGCCUGGGAAGUACGUCCGCAAGGAUGAAACUUAAAGGAAUUGGCGGGGGAGCACUACAACCGGAGGAGCCUGCGGUUUAAUUGGACUCAACGCCGGACAUCUCACCGGCACCGACAACGUGCAGUGACGGUCAGUUUGAUGAGCUUACCUGAGCCGUUGAGAGGAGGUGCAUGGCCGCCGUCAGCUCGUACCGUGAGGCGUCCUGUUAAGUCAGGCAACGAGCGAGACCCGCGUCCAUAAUUGCCAGCAGCACCCUUGUGGUGGCUGGGUACAUUAUGGAGACUGCCGUCGCUAAGACGGAGGAAGGAACGGGCAACGGUAGGUCAGUAUGCCCCG
rnacentral:rRNA from 3 species